rnacentral:tRNA from 1 species
UGGGGUGUAGCCAAGCGGUAAGGCACCGGGUUUUGAUCUCGGUAUGCGGAGGUUCGAUCCCUCCCACCCCAACCA